rnacentral:tRNA from 1 species
GGGGAUUUGUCAGGAACGCUGACUCUUAAUCAGCGGGUCGUAGGUUCGAGCCCUACAUCACCCACCA